UACGGGGGGGGGCAAGCGUUGUUCGGAAUUACUGGGCGUAAAGGGCUCGUAGGCGGCCAACUAAGUCAGACGUGAAAUCCCCAGCUUAACCUGGGAACUGCGUCUGAUACUGGAUGGCUUGAAUUCGGGAGAGGGAUGCAGAAUUCCAGGUGUAGCGGUGAAAUGCGUAGAUAUCUGGAGGAAUACCGGUGGCGAAGGCGGCAUCCUGGACCGACAUUGACGCUGAGGAGCGAAAGCGUGGGGAGCAAACAGG
rnacentral:rRNA from 1 species